UAAAAUUGAAACUAUGCAAUUCCAUAAUUAUAAGUAGGAUUUAUUUGUUAUGAAGGUAUUCAAUAAUAUCAUAUAUCUAAUUUUUUAUAAGCAAUAUUACAACUAUAACAGCAUUCUAUAAGUAUAGAUCUAAGAAAGAUUCAUCAGUAUUCAAGUCCAAUAUAAGAUAGGAAAUUUGCGAGAGAUAAUUGGCAGUUAUCUUUUAUUUCUUGGGAAAGUAAAUAACUUUGAAGUCAUAUUCUAUGAAAAAAAUUAUUCAUUGUAUUAUUUGGCCAAUAAUCAAAGAUUGAUUUAUUAGGUAAAAUAGCAAGUGUUGAAUCAACAACAAACUGAAAUCUAUUUGAGAGCAAAUAGUACUUAUAUUUCUUCAUGAUAUAGACUAUUGUUAGGACUUUACAUUUUGUGGUCAAAUAAUUUUAUAUUUUUGUAUUUAAUAUU
rnacentral:lncRNA from 1 species